GGCCGGCUUGCGUCAGACUCCGCCUCCCGAGACCACGCCUCGCCGAGUCCCGGAUGUGCUCCAGGAAGGCAUAGGAGCUGGUUGUUGAAGAGUCCAUGGUCUCCCACUUCUUUUGCUUCCUCUCUCACCAUGUGACCUGCACACGCUGGCUCCUCUUCACUUUCCACCAUGAGUGGAAGCAGCCUGAGGCCUCACCAGAAGCAGAUGCUGGUGCCAUGCUUUUUGUACAGCCUGCAGAACCGUAGCAGUUGAAGCCAAAUGGACAGAAAGCCCAAGACAACAUGAAGUUGUUCUACAAGUUAUUUUGGAGAAAUUGACUUACCAUACCACUCAUCAACCCAUGCAAAAGCCUGUCUAUGUCCAAUCAGCAGAAUGUCUCGGAC